AAAAAAAAAAAAAAAAAAAAAGCCCAUCAAGCAUUAAAAAGCUGUUGUAUUAAGUUUCUCAUUUGUGGCAGAAAUGGAAGUAUAUCAAAUGGUAUAACCACCAAUUGUGCGUAAGAACAUGUCAGCAAUUAAACAAGAGCGUCCAUUACACUGGUUGUGAUGCAGCCAAUGAUACUUCUCCAUGAGAAUAUAGGUAGAGAUAUGCCGUCACGCUAGUUGGGACAAUGAUAGUCAGCCAUGUGGCGACCUUAAGAUGUCAAAACAGAUAGUUACCCUAUGCAAGUAUACAAUAAUAACUAUGAAUUAAAAAAAGUUCAUCUCUAAAAGCAGACUGCUACAAAGAAAAGAGAACUAUUCUACAACAAAAACAAAAAUAGUUUAUCUCUAGAAGUAGAAAUUUUGAUACAUCACAUCUUAACAAAUGCUAAAAAAUGCAUUCACGAUUUUACUAGUUUAUUUUAUCCAUCAAGCUUAGAGGGUAUUCGUCUUAACUUAUGAAAAUUAGCUAUAAGUACUUAAUGCUUAUAAAACUAAUAUAAUCUUAUAAGUAUUUAAAAUUUUAAGCAAGUACAAUAGCUAACAUGUUUGGCAAAAAAUAGUUUAUAAACACAUUUAUUGUUAAAAUUACUUAAAAGGAUAUUAAAUGAGAUAUAUGUUAAAAUUUUAAAAAUUAAAUGAGGGUAAAAUUGUAAAACAUUUAGUCAAACUAGCUUAUAAGUAUAAAAAAAAAAUGCUUAUAUCCCCAAUUUAUUUUUUUUCAGCUUAUAAGCCGAAAAAUAUUAUAAACAAACAAGUAAACUUAUUUUUAAAACUUAUAAGCUAGUUUCACCAACUUAUAAACUAAGAUGAACACCAUCUUAAAUAGUAAACCCUUUCCAACACGUAAUUAAAAAUGGAGAUCCAUGAGCAAGACACAACCAUGAUCCUUGCCACGCUCUUCCUAUACAAGUGCGUUUUCAUUUUUGAUCUCUCACCCAGUUGCCAUAAACAAUUUUGUAAGCAUGACUAAAACUUUUAUGUAAUGUCUUGAAUUUACAUACCGUAUUUAGUAUAUUUUAGUAAGAAAUUCAAAUAUUGAAUAUGAUAUGUAAAUUAUAUUAAAUGAGGAGUUAAAUUAAAAGUUUGUAAAAGGCACCUAUGGACUUUGUUGUAAAGUUAAUGAAGUUUGGGGGAAAAAUUGAAAAUUUUCAACUUAGCAUCUAAUUGAGUUUAAUUAAGGUCAUUAAGUGUGGUUAAUUAAACUAAGUAAUCACCAAUUAAAUGAGACUAAUGGUAAAGAGACAUAUAAAAACAAAAAAAAGUGUCUUCUUCCUUAUCAUGUUCAGCCGACCCAUCUCACUCCAUUCUUCUCCAUUUUCUCUCAUCCAAGCUCACAUACAAACCCUAAUUCAACAAUCUAAGAUAAUGUUUCAUGAUAGAAUUGAAGGAAUUGAUGAUCAAAGCAUUAAAUCAAAGUGAAAGGGAAGGGAGAAUCAAGAGUUGGUAAGUUGAUUUCAAGUGGCAGAUUUGUUGGUGUGAAACCAAAACCAUACACUGAAGUGGCUUGGGAAUUUUUGAUGAAAAGUGAUUGCAAUUGAGAGUAAAUUGCUGGAACUAAGUUGAGGUAUGUGCUUGUCUAAGCUUAUUAUAAAAAUUAUUACUUUAUGCAUCAUGGAAUGGUAACUGUCAGGAUUAGUGAAUCUAGUGAGCAGUCUGUACUAAUUUGGCUAUAAGUUGAGUUAUAGAGCUUUAAUUGAGAUGCAAUUUGAACAAAAAUUUUCUUAAGACAUAGACCUACAAUUUUUAUGUUUUGACUUGGACGUAAUUCUUAGUGUAAGUGGUUGAAAUUUUAGAGUAAGUUGGCAUUGCACAUAUGGAAUUUCUUGAAAUUUAGCAAUUCAGUCAUAUGACCUUCGUGUAGUAAACAGGGCAUAUCUCCCUCUGUACAUCUCCAAUUGAGGUGCUCCAAGAUGCUUUGGAAACUUAAGACAUAGGCCUAAAAUUUUGCUUUAAAGACCCUGUACAAAUUCUGGGUGUAAAGUGCUUGAAUGUUGAAUGCAAACCUGGAUUAGAAAUCUGAAAACCUAGAAUUCUGAGGACAAUGUAUCCGUGAAUAGUAGUUGGUAAUUUAGCUAUAACUCACAAUAUAGGCCUCUAAAUUAGGUGAUUCUUAAACUGAUAAAAACUUAAAACAUGUAGGAAGAUAUUUUAUGAAGACUACUUUAAUUGAAUCUAUCUUUAGAAUGGUCAAAUUAGGUUAUGAAUAGGAACUAUGAAUUCUGUUUAUAACCAGAAUUGGUUAUGUAAAAAAUGGACAGUAUGUAGAAAUUAGAGCAUAACUUGAGAUCUAGAACUUGGAAUGGAUGAUUCUUAAUUUAAAUGAAAGGUAAGACACCAGGCUAUAAAUUGUAUGAAGAACAUAAGAGCUACUUCUGUCUUUAGAGUAUCCAAGGAGUUGAUAAAUAUAGGUGUUCCCCUGAAAUGGUAAUUUGCCUUCUUGAAUAGUUUGCACAUAAAGGGAUAUAAAUGAAUUUAUACAUAUCUAAAUUGGAUCAAAUUAAUUUCUAAUAAAAGUUAAGACAUAAAUGGACAUGUUUUAUGAGGGGAACUGGUCUUGAAAAUGUCUUUCUCUAGGUCUAAUUAUGAUUGCAAAUUGAGUUGGAGAGACUACUUAUGAGGAAAUUAACAUGAUUGAUUCUAAAUGCUAUGCGAAAAUGGUUAUGUCCUUAUCUUGAAUAUGAAAUUGAUUAUAUAAUGAUGCCAAUUGGUGUUUAAAUGAUGAAUAUCAAUCCUUCCUUAUUAUGAAUAUGUAAACAAGUAUAUGAUAAUGACAAAUGAUGUGAAUAUGAUGAGUGUCAAUCCUUAUGGAUGUAAGAAUGUUUGAAUUACUUAAUAUCAUGUUAUAAGACUACUGAGGCCCAAGAUUCUACCUAGAUUGAAGAUAGAAACGACAGUUUGGCAUGCCAAAUAGGGGGAUAAGCUAGCAGAUCUACAAACUAAAAUGAAUCUAUAUAUAUGAUCAUGUAAAGACGACAUCUGAAAGGCGGUGUUGCAAUACACAUAUUGAUUCUAAAAAGGCACAUAAGACAACGCCUGAAAGAAGAUAUUGCUGUGGUGAAAAAGGACACGUGAGAUAACAUCCAAAAGAAGAUUUUGUAGUGAAAAAGAGAAAAUAUAAGAUGACAUUUGAAAGAAGGUGUCACAUUAAAAUCUCAGUAUCCGGAAUAAGGAAAGUAAUACCAAGGAGGAAUUGGGCCAUUAAAUAGAAACAAUGAAAUGACAAGUUUUUAAGUUAAAUGAGUUGCUCUUUUAUUUAUAAAUUGGAUUUUACUUUUGUUAAUAGAUAACUCGUUGCCAUAUGCACAUUUCAUGAGCAAGAUUAGCGAAAAUCAAUUAAAGAGUUUACAAUGAGAUGUUUUAUUUAUUUUUUAAAAAUUAUUGUGAAUGGUUACAUGCUUGAAAUUAUCUUAAUUGCUUGAUUAAAUGUUUACAAUACAUAUAGUUACAGAUGACUAUUAAUUAGCCAUAUUAAGCUAGACAUGCACUACUAAGCUAUAUGCUUAGCACGAUAGGUUAUUACCUCAUGCAGGUACUAACGCUGAGGGUUCACAAAGAGUAGAUCAUUAAAAUCUGCAUCAGAGGAGCAAUAUUUUGUCAAGAGUCUAAUUAGGGUUGGCUCUCCUUACUUAUAAUGAUUCUUUUUGUAUAAGUUGUAUAAGUAAUUAAUGAUGAAAAGUUGUAUCUAAUGAAAUGACAUGUUAUGUAAAGUUUGAAUUUUGCGUAAAUCACAUUUGGAACGGUUUUUAUGUGAUGAGUAUGGAAUAAUCAGAUAAUAAUUGAGAUAUAGAUCUUAUUUCAGGUUGUGGAAAUUACAGGUAAUGCUCUCGGUUCAGUUGUUAUGCUAUCGGAUCAAGGGUUGUUACAAUUUUAAUCAAAGAACAUUUAAAAAUAAAUAAAUAAAGUUUGCCACAAUCAUCAUUAUUUUAGGGGACUUCCAUUUUAAUUCUCAAAAAUUUCUAUUGUUGCAAUAAAUUUUUUAAGAAACCCAUCAGAAACAGAAUAUAAAAUGGAACUCAUUAUGGCAUCCCUGUCAAUACAUGUUUAAGGAACAUUUGACAAGUUUAAAUUGGAUAUCCUUCAUUUCAACUUAUGCACAAGGACCAAUGAUGAAAUUACACUGUAGAACAAAAAGGGUGAUCAAGUGCAAAAAUAUUCCAAAUAAAAAUCCAAGAAUAUUAGAUGUAGUGCAAUCUAUGUAGCACAUUACCUAAAUAAUUAACAAAAAAGGUUUAAAAAACAGCAAGGUAGGAUAGCAAAAUAUGAGUACUAACAUUGGAAAUAAGAGUGUAUCACAGAGAAAAGUAAACUGUUCUACUGUAGCAAUUCUAAAAUACAAACCAUCCAUAUUUCUCUGUGGGUAAGAUGAUUUUGGUCAAAAUAAAAAAUUUUAGCAUAACUGAUGCUAGAUUGAGCGAAAACCCAUAAAUUAACUCCCCAAAGCCAAACCAUCAUAGUCACAAGAAGAAGAGGAUUGUAAUAUAAAAAAGCCUCAUAUAGGAAAAGGUCUUGUAAAUCCACACUUAUUCUCAUGACAGAAUCCCAACCAAUCUCCAAUUUUCACAUGCACCCAUUAAGAAGAUACAAAGCAAGCAAUAUGAUGAAAUUACAUUGUCUUAAAAUGUCUCAAGUACUACAAUCAAAUCUAAAAUAUCCAAUGCACAAGUAAUCAUAAACACAAAUAACAAAUGAGUAAAUAUCUGCUCACCUUGCAGCAAAUGAAACCCCAUAGAAAGAAUAAUAGUACCUGGAAAUUAAACUCCUUUAGUAUGAGUAAAUAUGGAUAACAAAGAAAAAGGUUAAUGAUAGCUGUAAAAUUCAAUCAUAACCACACUACAGUGAUUAAUUCGUUCAUUAGUAGAACCAAUCUGUAUUAAGAGAAGAAAAUGGGAAUAAUGGAAUCACGCCUAAAAAAUGUCUUAGUCCUUAGUCAGAUGAACCAGGCAUUGGCAUAAAUUUAACAAAUAAAUCAUUAGGCAAACUGAAAAAAUAAAAUUAUGGAAGGAACACAGAUAUAAGUACUUCAUUAAAAACAAAACCUUGAAUCUCCAUAAUAAUAUUGGAGAUGGCAUUAUUGCAGCAGUGCUUAUAGGCGUAAUCAUACUCUUCAAAUCAUUGGACUCCGUCGAAUGCAAGAAACCUUCCUCUGCACCAUUUCCCUGCUCACCAAUUGACAAAUAGCCCACAAGCAUUAACUUCAUAAUAAAUAUCAAGCAACACAAACAUAAAUAAAUAAAUAGAAGCUAAAAAAUUGACACCCAAUACAUCUAGAAAAGCUUAUAAUCUUGUUCUACCAAGAUCAAGGACAACAGGUCGGCUACCCGACUUCCUCAAAUGUGGACUAUUGCUUGGCGCUGUCACUUGACCUCCAAACAUAGAUGUAAUGGCAGAUAGUAUUCGUGCGUUGCUGCAACGUAGCUAGUAUUCGUGUGUUGCUGCAACGUAGCCUUCAGUACGUACCUGCCACCAAUUGUGAUUACAAACCACGAUCACAACCCAAAAAAAUUUCCUCUAACCCACAUUAUCAUAACACCAAUUAAGAGCAAAUUUUGUAAAACUACCCUAACUUACAUAAUUAAAGGGGGAAAAAACAGAUUCCAGAAAAUUUGGAGAUCUAUUGCUCAAAAUAUCCAGAAUUACAAAUGCAGACAGGAAAAAAAAUCAAAUUAAGGGAAACCCAUUAGAAGCUUCAUGCUCAAAUCAUGCGAUAGAGGAAAGUGGAACCAAAUUGAACAUAGAAAAUGAGAUCAGAGAGAGAGAGAGAGACUUACAGAGAGAGCUAUGAAUGGCUUUAAAAUAGGUACCUUGAUUGAUUGAUUCAACGUAUGUUAUAUACAUUCGAACCUUUUUGAGAGUUCCCUGGAUCUCUCUCACCCACCUGAUAUGGUGAGAUCUCUCUGUUGCACAAUCAAAAAUAUUAGGAGAAAUUUUGAGUGCGAGGGAAGCGAGGGAAGCGAGGUGCUAGCCUGGGAAGAUGCAAAUGCACAUUUUCGGAAGGACACGUAC
rnacentral:misc_RNA from 1 species